UACGUAGGGGGCUAGCGUUGUCCGAAUUUAUUGGGCGUAAAGAGCGUGUAGGCGGCCAUGUAGGUCCGGUGUGAAAACUCGAGGCUUAACCUCGAGAUGUCAUCGGAAACCAUUUGGCUAGAGUCCGGAAGAGGAGAGUGGAAUUCCUGGUGUAGCGGUGAAAUGCGCAGAUAUCAGGAAGAACACCAAUGGCGAAAGCAGCUCUCUGGGACGGUACUGACGCUGAGACGCGAAAAGCGUGGGGAGCGAACAGG
rnacentral:rRNA from 1 species